rnacentral:rRNA from 1 species
GAAGGUAAGACAGAGCCGGGAAUGAGAAAACCGGUGCAAGCACAAUAGAUGUGUGGGAGGAAAAUCCCCCGCAUAAGUCAAAGGUGUGAUGCGGACCGAAAAAGAGUAGGGAAGCUGUUAAGCAAGCCGUCAAGAAAAGCUGCUAUUGUUUCAUUAUGGCCCGUACCGUAAACCGACACAGGUGGAUGGGGAGAGAAUCCUAAGGCCGGCGGAAGAAGUAUUGUUAAGGAACUCGGCAAAAUGACCCCGUAACUUCGGGAGAAGGGGUGCCUGCGAGAGCAGGCCGCAGAGAAGAGGCCCAAGCAACUGUUUAGCAAAAACACAGGUCUAUGCAAAACCGAAAGGUGAGGUAUAUGGGCUGACGCCUGCCCGGUGCUGGAAGGUUAAGGGGAGUGGUCAGGAAACGAAGCCACGAACUUAAGCCCCAGUAAACCGGCCGUAACAAUAACGGUCCUAAGGUAGCGAAAUUCCUUGUCGGGUAAGUUCCGACCCGCACGAAAGGCGUAAUGAUUUGGGCGCUGUCUCGACAAUACAUCCGGUGAAAUUGAAGUGCCAGUGAAGAUGCUGGCUACCUGCGCCAGGACGGAAAGACCCCAUGGAGCUUUACUCCAGCUUGAUACUGGGACCCGGUAUUGCAUGUACAGGAUAGGUGGGAGGCUAGGAAAUGUGGACGCCAGUCUGCAUGGAGCCGCUGUUGGGAUACCACCCUUGUGGUGCUGGGUUUCUAACCAGAGGCCGUGAACCGGUCUGGGGACAAUGUCAGGUGGGGAGUUUGACUGGGGCGGUCGCCUCCGAAAGGUUAUCGGAGGCGCCCAAAGGUUCCCUCAGAAUGGUUGGAAACCAUUCGAAGAGUGCAAAGGCAGAAGGGAGCUUGACUGCGACACCGACGGGUGGAGCAGGUACGAAAGUAGGGCUUAGUGAUCCGGUGGAAUUUAAGUGGGAAUGCCAUCGCUCAACGGAUAAAAGCUACCCUGGGAUAACAGGCUGAUCACUCCCAAGAGUUCACAUCGACGGAGUGGUUUGGCACCUCGAUGUCGGCUCAUCGCAUCCUGGGGCUGAAGUCGGUCCCAAGGGUUGGGCUGUUCGCCCAUUAAAGCGGUACGCGAGCUGGGUUCAGAACGUCGUGAGACAGUUCGGUCCCUAUCCGGCGUGGGCGUAGGAUAUCUGAGAGGAGCUGUCCUUAGUACGAGAGGACCGGGAUGGACUGACCUCUGGUGUACCGGUUGGCGAUCAACGCCACGGCCGGGUAGCCAUGUCGGGACGGGAUAAACGCUGAAGGCAUCUAAGCGUGAAGCCCCCCUCAAGAUGAGAUAUCCCAUCGUAAGAGUAAGACCCCUUGAAGACGACGAGGUUGAUAGGGCAGGGGUGGAAGUGCUGUAAGGCAUGGAGCUGACUGCUACUAAUCGGUCGAGGGCUUGAUCAA